rnacentral:rRNA from 1 species
AUUGAACGCUGGCGGCAGGCCUAACACAUGCAAGUCGAACGGUAACAGGAAACAGCUUGCUGUUUCGCUGACGAGUGGCGGACGGGUGAGUAAUGUCUGGGAAACUGCCUGAUGGAGGGGGAUAACUACUGGAAACGGUAGCUACUACCGCAUAACGUCGCAAGACCAAAGAGGGGGACCCUCGGGCCUCUUGCCAUCGGCUGUGCCCAGAUGGGAUUAGCUUGUUGGUGGGGUAACGGCUCACCAAGGCGACGAUCCCUAGCUGGUCUGAGAGGAUGACCAGCCACACUGGAACUGAGACACGGUCCAGACUCCUACGGGAGGCAGCAGUGGGGAAUAUUGCACAAUGGGCGCAAGCCUGAUGCAGCCAUGCCGCGUGUAUGAAGAAGGCCUUCGGGCUGUAAAGUACUUUCAGCGGGGAGGAAGGGAGUAAAGUUAAUACCUUUGCUCAUUGACGUUACCCGCAGAAGAAGCACCGGCUAACUCCGUG